rnacentral:rRNA from 1 species
GCUUAUGGCCAUACCAGCCUGGCUAUGCCCGAUCUUGUCUGAUCUCGUAAGCUAAGCAGGUUUGGGCCAGGUUAGUACCUGGAUGGGAGACCGCCUGGGAAUACCAGGUGCUGUAAGCU